rnacentral:rRNA from 1 species
GGCAUAUGCGGCAGGCUACCAUGCAAGUCGAGCGGUAGCACAGAGAGCUUGCUCUCGGGUGACGAGCGGCGGACGGGUGAGUAAUGUCUGGGAAACUGCCUGAUGGAGGGGGAUAACUACUGGAAACGGUAGCUAAUACCGCAUAAUGUCGCAAGACCAAAGAGGGGGACCUUCGGGCCUCUUGCCAUCAGAUGUGCCCAGAUGGGAUUAGCUAGUAGGUGGGGUAACGGCUCACCUAGGCGACGAUCCCUAGCUGGUCUGAGAGGAUGACCAGCCACACUGGAACUGAGACACGGUCCAGACUCCUACGGGAGGCAGCAGUGGGGAAUAUUGCACAAUGGGCGCAAGCCUGAUGCAGCCAUGCCGCGUGUAUGAAGAAGGCCUUCGGGUUGUAAAGUACUUUCAGCGGGGAGGAAGGUGUUGAGGUUAAUAACCUCAGCAAUUGACGUUACCCGCAGAAGAAGCACCGGCUAACUCCGUGCCAGCAGCCGCGGUAAUACGGAGGGUGCAAGCGUUAAUCGGAAUUACUGGGCGUAAAGCGCACGCAGGCGGUCUGUCAAGUCGGAUGUGAAAUCCCCGGGCUCAACCUGGGAACUGCAUUCGAAACUGGCAGGCUAGAGUCUUGUAGAGGGGGGUAGAAUUCCAGGUGUAGCGGUGAAAUGCGUAGAGAUCUGGAGGAAUACCGGUGGCGAAGGCGGCCCCCUGGACAAAGACUGACGCUCAGGUGCGAAAGCGUGGGGAGCAAACAGGAUUAGAUACCCUGGUAGUCCACGCCGUAAACGAUGUCGACUUGGAGGUUGUGCCCUUGAGGMGUGGCUUCCGGAGCUAACGCGUUAAGUCGACCGCCUGGGGAGUACGGCCGCAAGGUUAAAACUCAAAUGAAUUGACGGGGGCCCGCACAAGCGGUGGAGCAUGUGGUUUAAUUCGAUGCAACGCGAAGAACCUUACCUACUCUUGACAUCCAGAGAACUUUCCAGAGAUGGAUUGGUGCCUUCGGGAACUCUGAGACAGGUGCUGCAUGGCUGUCGUCAGCUCGUGUUGUGAAAUGUUGGGUUAAGUCCCGCAACGAGCGCAACCCUUAUCCUUUGUUGCCAGCGGUCCGGCCGGGAACUCAAAGGAGACUGCCAGUGAUAAACUGGAGGAAGGUGGGGAUGACGUCAAGUCAUCAUGGCCCUUACGAGUAGGGCUACACACGUGCUACAAUGGCGCAUACAAAGAGAAGCGACCUCGCGAGAGCAAGCGGACCUCAUAAAGUGCGUCGUAGUCCGGAUUGGAGUCUGCAACUCGACUCCAUGAAGUCGGAAUCGCUAGUAAUCGUAGAUCAGAAUGCUACGGUGAAUACGUUCCCGGGCCUUGUACACACCGCCCGUCACACCAUGGGAGUGGGUUGCAAAAGAAGUAGGUAGCUUAACCUUCGGGAGGGCGCUUACCACCUUUUAUCAGGGGGG